rnacentral:rRNA from 1 species
GCGAAAGCGACGUUCAACCGCAAAAGAAGCAGAGGGGGCUUAGUGGUGGGGUGACUGCGUACCUUUUGUAUAAUGGGUCAGCGACUUAUAUUCUGUAGCAAGGUUAACCGAAUAGGGGAGCCGGAGGGAAACCGAGUCUUAACCGGGCGUUAAGUUGCAGGGUAUAGACCCGAAACCCGGUGAUCUAGCCAUGGGCAGGUUGAAGGUUGGGUAACACUAACUGGAGGACCGAACCGACUAAUGUUGAAAAAUUAGCGGAUGACCUGUGGCUGGGGGUGAAAGGCCAAUCAAACCGGGAGAUAGCUGGUUCUCCCCGAAAGCUAUUUAGGUAGCGCCUCGUGAAUUCAUCUCCGGGGGUAGAGCACUGUUUCGGCUAGGGGGCCAUCCCGGCUUACCAACCCGAUGCAAACUGCGAAUACCGGAGAAUGUUAUCACGGGAGACACACGGCGGGUGCUAACGUCCGUCGUGAAGAGGGAAACAACCCAGACCGCCAGCUAAGGUCCCAAAGUCAUGGUUAAGUGGGAAACGAUGUGGGAAGGCCCAGACAGCCAGGAUGUUGGCUUAGAAGCAGCCAUCAUUUAAAGAAAGCGUAAUAGCUCACUGGUCGAGUCGGCCUGCGCGGAAGAUGUAACGGGGCUAAACCAUGCACCGAAGCUGCGGCAGCGACGCUUAUGCGUUGUUGGGUAGGGGAGCGUUCUGUAAGCCUGUGAAGGUGGCCUGUGAGGGUUGCUGGAGGUAUCAGAAGUGCGAAUGCUGACAUAAGUAACGAUAAAGCGGGUGAAAAGCCCGCUCGCCGGAAGACCAAGGGUUCCUGUCCAACGUUAAUCGGGGCAGGGUGAGUCGACCCCUAAGGCGAGGCCGAAAGGCGUAGUCGAUGGGAAACGGGUUAAUAUUCCCGUACUUGGUGUUACUGCGAAGGGGGGACGGAGAAGGCU